rnacentral:rRNA from 1 species
GAUGAACGCUGGCGGCGUGCCUAAUACAUGCAAGUCGAGCGAACAGACGAGGAGCUUGCUCCUCUGACGUUAGCGGCGGACGGGUGAGUAACACGUGGAUAACCUACCUAUAAGACUGGGAUAACUUCGGGAAACCGGAGCUAAUACCGGAUAAUAUAUUGAACCGCAUGGUUCAAUAGUGAAAGACGGUUUUGCUGUCACUUAUAGAUGGAUCCGCGCCGCAUUAGCUAGUUGGUAAGGUAACGGCUUACCAAGGCAACGAUGCGUAGCCGACCUGAGAGGGUGAUCGGCCACACUGGAACUGAGACACGGUCCAGACUCCUACGGGAGGCAGCAGUAGGGAAUCUUCCGCAAUGGGCGAAAGCCUGACGGAGCAACGCCGCGUGAGUGAUGAAGGUCUUCGGGUCGUAAAACUCUGUUAUUAGGGAAGAACAAAUGUGUAAGUAACUAUGCACGUCUUGACGGUACCUAAUCAGAAAGCCACGGCUAACUACGU